rnacentral:rRNA from 1 species
UACGAAGGGGGCUAGCGUUGCUCGGAAUCACUGGGCGUAAAGCGUGCGUAGGCGGUGUCUUAAGUUUUGUUUGUGAAAAUCUCCCGGCUUAACCGGGAGGGUGCGGCGAAUACUGAGAUGCUGGAGUGCCGGAGAGGUAAGCGGAAUUCCUGUGUAGCGGUGAAAUGCGUAGAUAUCAGGAGGAACACUGCGGUGUAGACGGCUUACUGGACGGUAAACUG